ensembl:lncRNA
CCCCCCCCCCAUUGUUUUUUUUGGGUUCACAUAUUCAGUCCAGCCUCAUGUUUAAUGACAUUGCUCUGAAUAAUUGAUGCACUACAAAAAAAAGAAGAGGAAUAACAACUACUCUGCUCCAGUCCAUGUUUGGUUUUAAUUGUUGCUUUUCUGAGCAUUCUGAUUUUGCGCUUUUGAAAUCUAGCUAAAUUGGGAUUUGCUGAAAUUACUUAAAACCUUCCCCCAGGGUCUAAUUACAUACCAGGAGUUUUAGUCUGAGCUUCGCUCAAACAGUAAGAGGAAGUAGCAAGAGGGAGCCAAGGAGACAGUCUCCAGCAAGUUGCAGGUCAGGUAGAUGAAUCGUGACCUUUGACCCUUUACCCCACAUGGUUAACGCAGACCUUUACCCCCAUGAAAUGUAACACAGUUAAGCUGGUGACUGUGAUGUCAUCCACAUAGCAACAGAGUGUUUUGAAAGUUAUGUUUUUUUUUCCUUUACGUUUUCAAAAAGAUUUAUGUCCACACAACAACAUUUGGAGAGCUAACCUGCGUCCACAAGGAAAUGCAAAAAGGAGUGAAGACGCUGUUGCUAGCUAGGUCAAUUUAAAAAAUGUUUUGCAUAACCUGUGCUAUGGACUAAUAUUUAUUACAGUAUUUUCAGCUGUAUGGAUGGUAUUGGGGUGUUAUAUCAGUAUUUAUCAUCUAAAGUUCAUAACCUUUAGACUAUUAAAUUAAAUUAAAUUAAAUUAAAUUAAAUAAAAAUAAAUAUUGCACAUUUCAAUAUUAUAAACAUGAAACAUGGCUUGAAGAGUUUCUCUAAAUGAACAGUUACUAUAAAAUAAUUAUCACGAUGAGGCCCCACGUUAUUAGCACAAUGUACCAUCUGUUCCUCUGUAAAAACGGGAAACUAAAAGUUUGGUCACAAAAAUAGCCAUUAGCCCUCAGUUCUUGGACAGGGAUACCAGUUUGUUGACAUUUUCUGGCUUAAGCGAUGUCCUGGUGUGACUAAAAUGUCAUGACAUUUGUUUACGGAAACCUAAUUUAUGACGACUUCGAAGACACAGUUAGGCUACUGUGUGGGGUUUGUCAUGUACUGGUGUUUGCUAGGUAUUUUGUUGAGCUUUCCGUUGUUUACAAUGGCAAACUUGGUACAGCGCCAAAAUAUACACCAGUAGCUAAAAUAUUUUUUACAAAAUAUCCCGGUGUUGACUGUAUUGCAAAUUUCUUGCGGUGGCAGGACGAUAUUGCCAAAACAUUUUACCUCGGUUUUCUUUUUUCAGUCUGACGGUUAACGAUUAACGAUUUCAAUAGAUUUUUUUUUAACAUGACAUGAUUCUUUAUUAUCCUCUAGAAAUAGAGACAGAGGUGUAGUUUACAGUUCUACAGCAGUCGACAUAGACUUGUUUGUCAACAUUGGUAAAAUGUAUUAAUUAUGUCUGUUUGUUGUGCAAUCUUUGUCCUAGUGUGACUUCAUGUUAUUGAACACUAGCUAUUAAAUACACCGACAUUGCUCAACCAAGAGUAAUUCAUUGCUAUUAAUCUACGGUUUACCAGCAGCAGUAACGUGACACAACAUUGAAAACAGGCAACCUCUUUAAAAUGUCUAGUGAAGGACCCAUUCAACAACAGACCAAUGGAAUUGUUUGGUGAUUAACCUAACAGAAAGAAACAUUACUGCUGUAGCUAUAUGGUAACUCUAGCGAAGUGCUGGCUCGGGCAGUUGAGUGACUGCAGAUGAAGCUUUAAUCUCAAUUUUGCGAUUUAGGCAUUUUCUACAUCGUUCAAAAUCAAGGACUUGAAUUAAUCAAAUGAAUUAGAUAUAUCGCCCAGCCCUAGAAUGACGUAAUACCGUAGACCACUAUAACCGCCCACCCCUACUUUGAAGCCACUCAACUUCCGUUCUGUUUGAGUUUAUUCUUCUAAAACUGUGCAUGUGAAGUCCCUGGCUUUAUACUAAGAGGCAUUUCUGAGUGUACUGUAUACUAACUACGCUGAAACGCUACUAUACAGGUCAGCCCCAAAACAGAAGUCCAGCUUUUAUUUUUCCUUUCCUUUCCCUCUCUGUCUCUCUCUCUCCAUCUCUAAAAUUCCAGAGCCACUUAUAAAGGCUCCCCCCUAAAUCCCAAAGCUCCUCUCCUUUGAAAAAGCAGGCCUGCAUCCUUCUAG